GUGUCAGCAGCCGCGGUAAUACGUAGGGUGCAAGCGUUGUCCGGAAUUAUUGGGCGUAAAGAGCUCGUAGGCGGCUUGUCGCGUCGGCUGUGAAAACCCAGGGCUCAACCCUGGGCCUGCAGUCGAUACGGGCAGGCUAGAGUCCGGCAGGGGAGACUGGAAUUCCUGGUGUAGCGGUGAAAUGCGCAGAUAUCAGGAGGAACACCGGUGGCGAAGGCGGGUCUCUGGGCCGGAACUGACGCUGAGGAGCGAAAGCGUGGGGAGCGAACAGGAUUAGAUACCCUGGUAGUCC
rnacentral:rRNA from 1 species